rnacentral:rRNA from 1 species
GGCGAACGCUGGCGGCGUGCUUAACACAUGCAAGUCGAACGGAAAGGCCUGCUUUCCCUUGUGGAUUGCGGGUACUCGAGUGGCGAACGGGUGAGUAACACGUGAGUGAUCUGCCCCCAACUUGGGUAUAAGCCUGGGAAACUGGGUCUAAUUCCCGAUAGGACUGCAGGGUGGUGCCUGUGGUGGAAAACGAUUUUCUAGUGGUUGGGGAUGAGCUGGCGGCCUAUCAGCUUGUUGGUGGGGUAAUGGCCUACCAAGGCGGCGACGGGUAGCCGGCCUGAGAGGGUGGACGGCCACAUUGGGACUGAGAUACGGCCCAGACUCCUACGGGAGGCAGCAGUGGGGAAUAUUGCACAAUGGGCGGAAGCCUGAUGCAGCGACGCCGCGUGGGGGAUGACGGCCUUCGGGUUGUAAACUCCUUUCGACCGCGAGGAAGCCACCUGGUUGGAAGGGUGGUGACGGUAGUGGUAGAAGAAGCACCGGCUAACUACGUG